AGCAUCAAAGUCUGAACCAAUUUCAAACAUAUAUUACGCAUAGAAAAGUGAAAUCUUAUACUUACAGUUAAAUUGAAGCGUUAGUGAUGUUACAGAACUGUCCGUCAAUGUCCGUUAUGAACAUUGUCAUCACUACCGCAUUGCAUUGUGGGAUAUUUAUGCUGCCGUAGUGUCCAGCGUUGCAUACUGUAAUAUUUCACCGGAAUAGUAUGCAAUUCACGUACUUUUGGUUUCC